UUACAUUUACAUAAGCAAAGCUAUUCAGUGUCCUUAUCUUGUUUGUUAGCUAGACAUUGUUUUUCUCAUUUUCAGCUGAUGUGUCCCAAGAUGUUCCUUCAUCAGCUGGGCAAACCAAUUUGUGCAGUACUGAAUUGAAGAAGCUGGAGCGAGCCAUGUUUGUCAGGCUGGACAAACUGGAGCAAAAGAUGUCAGCCAUUGAAACUCUUUUAAGAACUGUUGUCCAAACAAGCGACACUUCUUGUGAGUUUCUGGUGAAUCCUUGCCAGAGCUCUCAAGAAUUGGAUGAUUUGUGUCUGAAGCUGCAAGACAAUGACUUCCGAAAAAAAACUGUCCAUUACUUAAGCCUCCUCGGAGGCAAAACACCUGGCGAUGCCAUCCGCAGGGUCUUGCGUACAAUUGGAACUAAUAGUCUAUGGUCAAAAUACAGCAUGAGAGGAAGAAAGGGGAAAAAAAAUUUGGAGAGCUGAACAUUUGCAGCGUGAUCAUUCAAGCCUGCCAAAAGAUCCACCCAAAAGUGCCAGCUAAGGUGUUAGAGGACUGCAUUGCAGACACUUUAAAAUAUGCUCCCCAUCGUGAGUCAAGGAUGGAGCAUGAACAGCAGACGGACUAGUUUUCAGCACCCACACAGACAUCCACAUUUAUUUAAGUUCUUACUGAUUGUAUGUUUUAAUUAAAGUACUUACAUUUCCUGUCAAAUUAUAAUUAUUUUUCAUUAGUGUUAACCUACAUUUUAAACUUUGUUACAUUUUAUAUAAUUUUAUCUGUUAAUGAGUUAAGUUGUACAU